rnacentral:lncRNA from 1 species
CUUUAUUCGCGUAUUUAAUUAAAGGUACUGCCUUCGCGCAGGCGUUGUAGGGUGCUAACACCUUCCCUACACGUAACCGACUCCCGAACCCAGAAUCUGGUUUUCGUGGACUGUGUCUUUCUUUAUGGUUUUUCCGUAGUUUUCCAGAAUAAACUAUGGUGGCGACUCCAAACUCUUUUUUUCAAAUUCGAUUUUCUUUUUUGGAUCGUCGUCCCGUCGUAAUUCCGGUUGCGACAGAUGGCGACUCCGCUGGGGACAUGUAGAGAGUCGAGCCAUUUAAUUAGAUGCGCGAAUUCGAUGUGGUUUUGCUUUGUGUUUUUCUUUCCCUUUUCUCUAUCUAUGCUUGAUAUUUGGAAUAACUGCAAUAAUUGUUGGAUAUUGAACCCUAGGGUAGAAAACAUGUUUAUAUCUGGCUGGGAAUUUUUCUGGUUGUUUUGCAGGUGAGGGUUUGGGUAUGCAUUGCAUUCUCCCUUCACACACACACUUUGUGCAUAUCAUGAGUGGGGCCCUAUACCCGGGUCUGAGUGUAACUUAGAAUUAGAGGAGUUGUGUAACGGUGUCACUCUGGGAUGUACUUCCUGUCUGGCUAUCGUGAGAACUCCAGCUAGAGUCUGUUCUCUUCACUUGUGUCUCCUCAUCUAGUUGAUUACUCGACUGUUGUAGGGAUGCUGUGAAGGUGGCCAUAGCUCUAGUGACCAUUGACCUUUAGGUUCAGGGAACCAUCCUUGUGAGAUUGCAUAUACUCGACUUGGAAUCUGAAGCGUUGGACCUUCUCUAGGGCACAAAGGGAGAUGUGUGUAUCCUUAUAACAUUCACUUUUGUUUAAUAAAAUCAAGCACCUCGUACAUAUCACUACAUUCUUUCUUUGUUGCUCAUGUUUUUAUGGUCUUGUCAAAAUUUUGUGAGUUCUAGUCAAGAAAUUAUAAAGUUGUGAUUACGGUAAAAGUGGAAAUUAACAUGGGAUUUUGAGUCAAGGGGCAUUCAAGUUUAAACUUUUUGAAGAAAAGCAUACGCAUUGAAGUCAAGGGGGGCAGUAUCAAUCUCUUGAGGGAUAUGAAAAAGAUGACCUUGAAAAAUGCAUUCAGGAAUGGGUGGGAAUUUGUUGAUCCUGUCAGAGGUGGAGGUCGAGACAACAACAAUUUUUGUUUUAGCCCAACACUAUGACCCAUUUCUAGUUGAUGCCAACAAUAGAAGAAUUUGAAAAUGUUGCAAGGCUUGCUUUGUCUCGGAUCUGAUGAUACUUCCUAAUGUUUAAAUUACCCAGAAGAACAAUUUGUCCCACGAG